CAGCUAUAUCACAUUGAAACCCCAGUUCUCAUAUGAUCGCCAAAGUUAAGCAAUGUUGAUCUUGGUCAUUACCUUGAUGUGUGACCACUUUGGAAUACCAGGUGCUGUAAG